rnacentral:piRNA from 1 species
UGCAGGGAUGUGUGCUGCAGGGCUGC